GCAUAACGCGAAGAACCUUACCCACCUUUGACAUGUACGGAAUCCUUUAGAGAUAGAGGAGUGCUCGAAAGAGAGCCGUAACACAGGUGCUGCAUGGCUGUCGUCAGCUCGUGUCGUGAGAUGUUGGGUUAAGUCCCGCAAUGAGCGCAACCCUUGCCAUUAGUUGCUACAUUUAGUUGAGCACUCUAAUGGGACUGCCGGUGACAAACCGGAGGAAGGUGGGGAUGACGUCAAGUCCUCAUGGCCCUUAUAGGUGGGGCUACACACGUCAUACAAUGGCUGGUACAAAGGGUUGCCAACCCGCGAGGGGGAGCUAAUCCCAUAAAGCCAGUCGUAGUCCGGAUCGCAGUCUGCAACUCGACUGCGUGAAGUCGGAAUCGCUAGUAAUCGUGGAUCAGAAUGUCACGGUGAAUACGUUCCCGGGUCUUGUACACACCG
rnacentral:rRNA from 1 species